UACUCAGAGAACCAGGGCAACGGGCUGGGCCAAGGCCUCCCGGGGUCAUGGCAAUGUUCCCGGGGAUCACUGGCGUCCAGGAGGUGGCAAGGCAAUGGGCUUCUCCGUGUGACCCAGUGGGUGAGGAGCCAGUUGGUGAUGUGAAUGUGUGUGCAGUCUCUCGGUCAAAGACAGCCAGCCUGCACAAUCUGGACAAGGGCCUGGCUGCCAGAUGGUGGCUCCCUGACGCUCCAGAACGCAGAAGCCUCGGCUCUGUGCUGGAUUCCAGGUCCUGGGUGGUGGAGAAUGGAGCAAAAGCCCUGGAAAAGGAAGCGAAGUGAAAGGACCAUCUGCAAUCUCUGGUGCACAGGAAGGAAGGAAAGCAUUGCAGAACAGUGGAUUCUUUACCACUGCACCAUGUAGACUGGGUGGCUAAAGAACAGACAUUUAUUUCUCACUUAUCUGAAGACUGGGAAAUCCAAGAUCAAGAUGCCAGCCACUUCAGUUCCUGGAUCCGAAGACUCGGCUACUUAAGGUAACCACUGGAGAGGCUGGCGGUCGAGUCCAAGGAGGUGCCACAGAGAAACCGCACUGCAGUGUUCACCCAGCCAACCCAAGACCAUCAAUCAACCCCAAAGACAGAAAGAUGACCAAGGAGACUCGAGAAUUUGAAGAAGUUAACCCCAGGAAUCUUGGCCCUGCCAUGCCAUGACCUCUCAGGUUAAUAUUGGACAGACCGUAUCAUCUGAAGGGAGAUAAGCAAAGUAUGUAGGGCUCUGGCACAUCUGCACUGAGCCACUGCAGGG
ensembl:lncRNA